AGAACGAACGCUGGCGGCAUGCCUAACGCAUGCAAGUCGAACGCUCCUGGGGCUUCGGUCUCAGGGGAGUGGCGCACGGGUGAGUAGCGCGUGGGAACCUGCCCUGUUGUGGGGGAUAACCGAGGGAAACUUCGGCUAAUACCGCAUAAGCCGGCUGUCUUGCGAAAGAUGGCCGGGAAAGAUUUAUCGCGACAGGAGGGGCCCGCGUCGGAUUAGGUAGUUGGCGGGGUAACGGCCCACCAAGCCGGUGAUCCGUAGCUGGUCUGAGAGGAUGAUCAGCCACACUGGGACUGAGACACGGCCCAGGACUCCUACGGGAGGCAGCAGUGGGGAAUAUUGGACAAUGGGCGCAAGCCUGAUCCAGCAAUGCCGCGUGAGUGAUGAAGGCCUUAGGUUGUAAAGCUCUUUCGCCCGCGACGAUGAUGACGGUAGCGGGAGAAGAGCCCGGCUAACUUCGUGCCAGCAGCCGC
rnacentral:rRNA from 1 species